AUUGAGGACACAGAAUAUUCCUUUAAAAGCUCUGUCCUGGACUAUGAGGAGAGGAGCAGCUCCACGAAUCCUGAGGGCCCAUCCCACCACCAGCCAUACUGGGAUGAGACAAGGUUUCUGGACUCAGCCAGCCUC